rnacentral:tRNA from 2 species
GGAGAGAUGCCUGAGUGGCUGAAAGGGAUGCUUUCGAAAAGCAUUGUAUGGGCAACCAUACCGGGGGUUCGAAUCCCUCUCUCUCCG